AGCAGGGGGAAGGGAAGCGGGAAGAAUUUAUCAACAUACCUUUCCCCAACGUGCCGCCAAACCGGAGGUGAGGGGGCAAUACCUUGU
rnacentral:sRNA from 1 species